GGAGGACAGGAAGGCCUGGAGGAGUGUUGUCCAUGGGGUCGCGAUGGGUCGGACACGACUUUGCGACUAACAACUACAACAACAAAUGGGAGACAGCCUUGACUGGAAAGUAGAGCAUGCAUGCAUGCAUGCAUUCAUUCAAUAAUUUAUUUGCAUCCCUGGGAAAUUACCUAUACUGUGUCCAAGACUGAACCAGCCCUGCCAUUAAAGGGCAGGGAGUAACCAAUUUUCAACAGUUAUUACCCAACAAAUGAUAACUGUCCAACAGUUAUUAUCCAUUUGGAUUUUCUACCUCAGGUCUCAAAUUUCUAAGAUUAUCUCCAGCUUCACCCAAUUUCUUAGAUUAUCUCUGCCUCCCAUCAUUUUAGAAACCAAGACAUUUCAGCACCUGAACACAAUGCAUAUAAUUAAUUCCGUUGCCAACUUUCCACCUUCUGUUAUGAACAAGAUUAUGCAUAUUUUCAAUAUUGGGUACACAAAAAGGACCAAAUAAAAUUAAAAAGUUUCACUAAAAAAUUUUCAUUCAAGACUGUAGAUAUACUUACCUUCUCCGGUAACAUUUUAAACAGAGAGAGGACUUCAGAAGAGUGAGGAAUGAACCACAGGUUCAGAAAGGAUUGUCCAUCAGCAGACAGCAAGCAAUGGGGUCGUGGCUGGAAUGAUCUGAGUGGUUAUAGAAGGAAGCUGGAUUACUUGUCCAAUUGUGCAACAGAGGCCUGGGGCACCCAAGAGUCUCAUGAAAUGUUUAUUUGCAGGCUGUGUUGCCACGUUGUGAGAAGUCUCCCAUUUACUGAAAUAUCCACAAGGCUCUGGCUUACCUAUCCACACUGUUGUCCUUGUGCUCAGAGAGAAGAGAAGUAAUGAAUAUCGGUGUCUUGCAUUAUGGGAUGACUGAAACUAAAGACUAAAACAGGAAAGCUGUUUCACAAGUCCAAAGGUCGAGCAGUACUGCAGAUCGAUCUGCUGACGCAUGUGCCCACUCAGAGAAGCCCUGACAGCGGGGCUCACUGCACACCUUGUAGCCUCAGAAGGAAAAAGCACAACAGACAAUUUCACAAAAACCACCAGGCUAAGAAACCACAAACAAUUUAAGUUAACGAUGCUGAUUCAAAAGAUGAAAAUGAAUCCUGUCCCCACUUCCAUACCUCUGCAUAUUCAUUUGGUAAAAGAAUUCACACAACAUAAAUCAGCAGUCUACAUACACAUAAAGGUUUCAGAGGCCACCAAAUUCAGUUGGGCACUAUUAGAGUUCUCACAUAAUCUAACUGUUGUGAACCUACACCUGGAGUUCCCAGCUGGCAUCUGAAGACAUCACGUAAUCCUGAGGCACCUCCCUCAGCAUUCACUAACCUUGCCACAGAAAGGAGUGAUGCCCACCAAAAUGGAUGGCUUUAAAAGGGGAGUGGAUAGAUUCAUGGAAGAGGAGGCUAUCAGUGAGUGGCUGGCUGGCUAUGUGCUACCUCCUUUACCAGAGGUGGUGCGUAUGCCUUACCAGUUGCUGAGGAGCUUGGGCAGAGGGAGGUCUGUCACCCAUCCUGUUGGAGGGAUCCUGUGGUAAAGCUGUUUUGCCACCGUGGGGACAGAGCGCUAGACUAGAUGGACUAUUGGUCUGAUCCAGUAUGGCUUUUCUCAUUAAUUCAUAAUAGAGAAAUAUGAGUCAUUCCACUAGUGUAAAUGAUGUUGUGCUGGUGGAAACUACAUUCUAAAUUAUGUGCAAGAGCACAAUUCAGCUAAAAUUACAUUUGCACAUGCAGAACAUUCAGCAGACUUCUGCUAAUGCUGAAUGAGUUGAAAGAAUGACCUAAGAAAAGGAAGAAGAGUUGUGCCAGAUCUGAACAAGAGUCCACCUACUCCUCGCAGCAUCCUGUUCUCACAGUGGCCAACCAGUUGCCCAUGGGAGACCCUCAAGCAGAACAUGAGAGUAAUAGCACCUUUCCACCCAUGUUCCACAGCACUUAUGUUCCAUAGCAACUGUAGCAUAGUACUAGAAGAAAUUGAUAGCCUUCUCU